rnacentral:rRNA from 1 species
UAAACGAUGUCGACUUGGAGGUUGUGCCCUUGAGGCGUGGCUUCCGGAGCUAACGCGUUAAGUCGACCGCCUGGGGAGUACGGCCGCAAGGUUAAAACUCAAAUGAAUUGACGGGGGCCCGCACAAGCGGUGGAGCAUGUGGUUUAAUUCGAUGCAACGCGAAGAACCUUACCUACUCUUGACAUCCAGAGAAUUUGCUAGAGAUAGCUUAGUGCCUUCGGGAACUCUGAGACAGGUGCUGCAUGGCUGUCGUCAGCUCGUGUUGUGAAAUGUUGGGUUAAGUCCCGCAACGAGCGCAACCCUUAUCCUUUGUUGCCAGCGAGUAAUGUCGGGAACUCAAAGGAGACUGCCGGUGAUAAACCGGAGGAAGGUGGGGAUGACGUCAAGUCAUCAUGGCCCUUACGAGUAGGGCUACACACGUGCUACAAUGGCAUAUACAAAGAGAAGCGAACUCGCGAGAGCAAGCGGACCUCAUAAAGUAUGUCGUAGUCCGGAUUGGAGUCUGCAACUCGACUCCAUGAAGUCGGAAUCGCUAGUAAUCGUAGAUCAGAAUGCUACGGUGAAUACGUUCCCGGGCCUUGUACACACCGCCCGUCACACCAUGGGAGUGGGUUGCAAAAGAAGUAGGUAGCUUAACCUUCGGGAGGGCGCUUACCACUUUGUGAUUCAUGACUGGGGUGAAGUCGUAACAAGGUAACCGUAGGGGAACCUGCGGUUG